AGCUGCAUGGCCCAGUGGCAGCGCGCGAGGCUCUAACCCGGAGGUUACUCGAUCGAAACGAGUUGCUGCCG